UACGAAGGGGGCUAGCGUUGUUCGGAAUCACUGGGCGUAAAGGGCGCGUAGGCGGCUUUGUAAGUCGGGGGUGAAAGCCUGUGGCUCAACCACAGAAUUGCCUUCGAUACUGCAUGGCUUGAGACCGGAAGAGGUUAGUGGAACUGCGAGUGUAGAGGUGAAAUUCGUAGAUAUUCGCAAGAACACCAGUGGCGAAGGCGGCUGACUGGUCCGGUUCUGACGCUGAGGCACGAAAGCUAGGGGAGC
rnacentral:rRNA from 1 species